rnacentral:rRNA from 1 species
CAAUAGCGUAUAUUAAAGUUGUUGCAGUUAAAAAGCUCGUAGUUGGAUUUCUGGUUGAAGCGACCGGUCGGGCGUUGAUUCGUCUGCACUGGAGUCGGUUUUGGCCAUCCUCUAGGAAAGUGCGUCUGGUAUUAAGUUAUCGGGCGUAUGAUCCUGGUCUUUUACUGUGAAAAAAUUAGAGUGUUUAAAGCAGGCCUUCGCCUUGAAUACAUUAGCAUGGAAUAAUAAGAUAGGACUUUGGUCUAUUUUGUUGGUUUGCAGACCGAAGUAAUGAUUAAUAGGGAUAGUUGGGGGUGUCCGUAUUGAGCUGUCAGAGGUGAAAUUCUUGGAUUUGCUCAAGACGAACUACUGCGAAAGCAUUCACCAAGGAUGUUUUCAUUAA